rnacentral:rRNA from 1 species
UACGAAGGGGGCUAGCGUUGUUCGGAAUUACUGGGCGUAAAGCGCGCGCAGGUGGUUUCUCAAGUCAGUGGUGAAAGCCCGGAGCUCAACUCCGGAACUGCCAUUGAAACUGUGGAGCUCGAGGACGAGAGAGGUGAGUGGAAUUCCCAGUGUAGAGGUGAAAUUCGUAGAUAUUGGGAAGAACACCGGUGGCGAAGGCGGCUCACUGGCUCGUAACUGACACUCAAGCGCGACAGCGUGGGGAUCAAACAGG